rnacentral:rRNA from 1 species
UACGAAGGGGGCUAUCGUUGUUCGGAAUUACUGGGCGUAAAGAGUUCGUAGGCGGUUUAUUAAGCUAGAUGUGAAAUCCCUGGGCUUAACUCAGGAACUGCAUUUAGAACUGGUAAGCUAGAGAGUGUUAGAGGUUGGUAGAAUUCCUAGUGUAGGGGUGAAAUCCGUAGAUAUUAGGAGGAAUACCGAUGGCGAAGGCAGCCAACUGGGACAUUUCUGACGCUGAGGAACGAAAGCGUGGGUAGCAAACAGG